UUAUUGAUCAUUGAUAAUUAUAUAAAUUUUAUUAGAAAAUUAAAUAAGUAUGUAAUAUAGGCUAGUGGGAGAGAGCUCAUCUCGUCUUUCACGUUAGAAACGAAGAAAGAAAAAGAAGAGAGUUUUACCAUUUUUCCUCCGUAGCCGUGACCGAUUCUAGCUAAUUGGUAUAAUUAACAACGUUUCAAUAACCGUAUUAUCGAACGUAGUUAAAGACAACACUGAAACGCCAAAGGCAAAAGGGAAGGAAAAGGCGAGCAUCAAAUAAAUAUCACGAUUUGUGCUAAUAUGAUUCACUUUCAAUUUCUUGUUUAGUUCCAUAUCCUUGAAAUCUUGCAAAGAAUGAUAAAAUAUUGUACUUAUAUGAAUUUUCAUAUAAAUGUUGAUACUAUGAUGAUAGUUGAUAAUGUAUAUUAUACAUAACUAGCAUGAUUUGAACUUAUAAGUGUUGGUGAUAAAAAAUAUAAUGCCUUGAUAAUGUGUUUAUAUA